GAUGAACGCUGGCGGCGUGCCUAAUACAUGCAAGUCGAGCGAACAGAUGAGAAGCUUGCUUCUCUGAUGUUAGCGGCGGACGGGUGAGUAACACAUGGGUAACCUACCUAUAAGACUGGGAUAACUCCGGGAAACCGGGGCUAAUACCGGAUAAUAUUUUGAACCGCAUGGUUCAAUAGUGAAAGACGGCUUCGGCUGUCACUUAUAGAUGGACCCGCGUCGUAUUAGCUAGUUGGUAAGGUAACGGCUUACCAAGGCGGCGAUACGUAGCCGACCUGAGAGGGUGAUCGGCCACACUGGAACUGAGACACGGUCCAGACUCCUACGGGAGGCAGCAGUAGGGAAUCUUCCGCAAUGGGCGAAAGCCUGACGGAGCAACGCCGCGUGAGUGGUGAAGGUCUUCGGAUCGUAAAACUCUGUUGUUAGGGAAGAACAAAUUUGUUAGUAACUGAACAAGUCUUGACGGUACCUAACCAGAAAGCCACGGCUAACUACGUGCCAGCAGCCGCAGUAA
rnacentral:rRNA from 1 species